AGUGAACGCUGGCGGUAGGCCUAACACAUGCAAGUCGAACGGCAGCACAGGAGAGCUUGCUCUCUGGGUGGCGAGUGGCGGACGGGUGAGGAAUACAUCGGAAUCUACUCUGUCGUGGGGGAUAACGUAGGGAAACUUACGCUAAUACCGCAUACGACCUACGGGUGAAAGCAGGGGACCUUCGGGCCUUGCGCGAUUGAAUGAGCCGAUGUCGGAUUAGCUAGUUGGCGGGGUAAAGGCCCACCAAGGCGACGAUCCGUAGCUGGCUCGAGAGGAUGAUCAGCCAAACUGGAACUGAGACACGGUCCAGACUCCUACGGGAGGCAGCAGUGGGGAAUAUUGGACAAUGGGCGCAAGCCUGAUCCAGCCAUACCGCGUGGGUGAAGAAGGCCUUCGGGUUGUAAAGCCCUUUUGUUGGGAAAGAAAUCCAGCUGGCUAAUACCCGGUUGGGAUGACGGUACCCAAGGAAUAAGCACCGGCUAACUUCGUGCCAGCAGCCGCCGUAA
rnacentral:rRNA from 1 species